CCAAGCUGUUCACCCUGUGCACCAAGAGUCAGUGAGCCUGGAACAUCCUCGCAGCAAAGCGAUGAGAUCCUGAGUGAGUCGCCCAGCCCAUCUGACCCUGUCCUGCCUCCCCCUGGACUCAUCCAGGAAGGAAGAAGCACUUCAGUGACCAAUGACAAGUUAACAUCCAAAAUGAAUGAGGAAGAAGACUCAGAAGAGAUGCCCAGCCUCCUCGCUAGCACUGUGCAAGUGGCCAGUGACAACCUGAUCCCCCAAAUAAAAGAUAAAGAAGACCCUCAAGAGAUGCCCCACUCUCCCUUGGGCUCUAUGCCAGAGAUAAGAGAUAAUUCUCCAGAACCAAAUGACCCAGAAGAGCCCCAGGAGGUGCCCAGCACACCUUCAAACAAGAAAGGAAAGAAAAGAAAAAGAUGUAUCUGGUCAACUCCAAAAAGGAGACAUAAGAAAAAAAGCCUCCCAAGAGGACAGUGGUCAUCCUGUGGGAUCAGCUUCUAAAGUCAACAGCCCGUGAAAAUUGUGUUCUCUUUCCACAAUGAAGCAAACUCACCUCUGCACCCUCUGGCAUUGCACCUCCUCUGGGUCGCAGCCUCACCUUCCAUCUCUCCCUCAUGGUGGCCGCCUUCUUGGCAGGGUCCUUCCCUCUCAGUUUUUUUAAUACCUUGCACUUUGCCCACUGAAGGCACCUAGAAACUAUUGGAAAUCUCUUGUACCACACACGGGCCGUGGGGGAAACUGGAGAGGUGCUUUAUAAGACACCUCCUCUCCACCUAGACGAGACUGUGUGGCCACCUCAUGGUGCAGGCCGACACAAACGAAAAUCAGGAAAUAAGCUCUAGGAUUUCCCCAGCUUUAUCUAGUUAAUUGCAACAGGUCAUACCAGGAGUGAAAGCAGAU
rnacentral:sRNA from 1 species